rnacentral:lncRNA from 1 species
UCUGGUCGAGGCUGCCUCGUGUUAAACCAAGACAGUGCUCGCUGUUCCUCUCAAAAAAAAAAAGAAGGCAGAGCUCGCUGUUAGACCCAUGGAGGCGCCGGCGACUGGUUCCACCCGCGGCGAAGACAUGAAGGCCGACGGCUUGGAAUCCCUUCUAGAUGCAGUCGACAGGUGCGCAAGCCUGUUUGCCUCGGUCGUCCUUUUGCGUUUUAUUUGUGCAUUAUUCGCGAUUUUGUCCGCGGUAAAGCAACUCUGAGACGAUUCGAUACCAUGUUUCCACUGCGAGAGGAAUUCGUUGCAGAGCAACCAAAUCCGGCGCCCCUCGCUGUACUGCCGCGGGGUGGAGCCAUUCAGGAAUUGUGCAUCCGGCUGCGUACAGGACGUGGGGAACCGCAGAUCGCACAGAAGUGUCUGCCAGGCCAGGGGAAGGAAGAACACUACCCCGACGCAGUCCGCGCAGUCAACCGGGAAGGUUAACCCAGAGGCUCCAGGCUGUACGAAGAGGUGACUUCCUAUUUUCGCUUCGAUCGUGCUGUUUCAGAAUUUUAGUUCUUAAUAAAGAACGAAAUUCGUUGAGGUCGCAUGCAUAGAAAAUGUAUGAUGAAGUUGUGCUGUAGUGUUCAGUACUCGCAUUCCUGGAUGAGUUAUCUUGCCAAAAUUCUUACGACUGGGUAAUUUGCUAUCAGUAAUGAUGUGGGUAAAAGAAUAGAGCUGCGCAGAUGCUACUACUGGCUGUUUUGAGCAGAAUAAGCAUGUUUGCAAUGUUGGCUGACUGAAAACAAAAAUAUUGAUGCAGUCCUGCAUGUUUUUGAGAUGUCUGCCGAAUGAUUUGCAGGUUGAGGCUAGUCAGUGCUUCACUAGACAGAACCCCAUGCCUGUUGAGGAUGAGCACGUUGGAGAAAUUAAUUAGGCAGUAUGCAGAAGCUUUCUAAGUGUGUGAUAAAGCCUGAGUUGGGGAUAAGCUUUGACUCGCUAGGUGAACACUUCUACAACCUAUGUUCGAGGUAGGCUUUGGUAUUAGGUAUGGCAAGAGCAGAUUGAAUGCCUGAGUUGGCUGAACUUUUGUGCUGAAUUGUGUACUCUUAUUAUGCAGACCAGAACAGAGCCAUGGAGGACGCUAUCAGUAAAGUGUUCCCGGAUACUUCCAUAGUUACAUGAAAAUGUUUAGAAUGCACGCGGACUUUCUUAAUUUUGGAUUUAGACUGGACUGCAAGAUUAGGGUACUGAGCCCGAAGGUAGUUUGCAAACUCCAUCGGUCCUAGUUCCAGGAUAGGCGAAGCGACAUUCGAAUUUGUGACUUGUGGGAGUGGUGGGUGAAUGCCGGCACUUGCUGUACAGGGGAGGUGAGGUUUCGCCUAUGCAAGAAGAGGAGAUGAGGUUCCGGUAGAUUCUUUUUUCUUUUGAACUGGGCAUGCUCAUCUUAAUCGCUCAGCCCAAUAGCCACACGUAUGUGUGAGCUGGGCAAAACAUGUGUAUGAUAUCCAAAACAUGGUAUACACUCAAGUCGAAUGUCAAGAACAAAGGUAAUUCAUCCGCA